UACGAAGGGGGCUAGCGUUGUUCGGAAUGACUGGGCGUAAAGGGCGCGUAGGCGGCGAUGUAAGUCAGGCGUGAAAGCCCCCGGGCUCAACCUGGGAACGGCGCUUGAUACUGCGUUGCUUGAGGACGGGAGAGGAUGGUGGAAUUCCCAGUGUAGAGGUGAAAUUCGUAGAUAUUGGGAAGAACACCGGUGGCGAAGGCGGCCAUCUGGACCGUUUCUGACGCUGAGGCGCGAAAAGCGUGGGGGAGCAAACAGG
rnacentral:rRNA from 1 species